CCACUACAAAUAAUUUAGCCAAAGAAAACCACAAAAACAAACUAUCCACACUGCCAUAAAUAACUAACUAAGAAUGUAGACAAUACAUGUACGGAGGCUCCAAAGAAAGCCACCACAAGCCACACAAAAGUCUACUAUAAGAGUAGACAUAAAGAUUCAUAAAAAGUAUUCAAGAAUCCCAAAGACUUACUUAAUCAACCCUUAAUUUAUUUUAAUGGAUUGACUUUAGGAACCAAAUGAGACUUAGGAGUGACCCUUGGAAGCCAAUGGUAAGUUGAGUUUGCAUCCGAAUUUAAUUAUUUUACUGUUUUGAUAAUUUAUAGAUUAUAUUAUGUGGAUUUCUUUUGCUUCUAAGAUGAGUAAGUGUAAGUAAAUCCAUAGUUAGAGAUAUAGUAGAUCUUUUUAUAAUUAUAUGUUCCUCUUUUGUUUAUAGUGGUCAAAGUGUAAUUUGAAGGAAAUUAUAAGUUCUACUUAG
rnacentral:lncRNA from 1 species